AGGAGAGGAGGGCGGAACUCACAGAGUAGCGGUGGAAUGCGUAGAUACUGUGAGGUACCCCGAUGGCGAAGGCAACCCUCUAGCCUGCUACCGACGCUGAAGCGCGAAAGCGUGGGUAGCAAAGGGGAUUAGAUACCCCCGUAGUCCACGCCGCAAACGAUGUUCACUGGGUGUCGGUCACCUAUAUAGAUCGGUGCCGGAGUUAACGCAUUAAGUGAACCGCCUGGGGAGUACGGCCGCAAGGCUAAAACUCAAGAGAAUUGACGGGUCCCUGCACAAGCGGUGGAGCACGUGGUUUAAUUCGAUGACAAGCGAAGAACCUCACCUGGGCUUGACAUAUUAGUGGUAGGAACCUGAAAGGGCGACGACCCUUCCCUUCGGGGUUGGGAGCUAUUACAGGUGAUGCAUGGCUGUCGUCAGCUCGUGUCGUGGGACGUAGGGUUAAGUCCCGAAACGAGCGCAACCCUUGUCGUUAGUUGCCAGCGGGUAAUGCCGGGGACUCUAACGAGACUGCUGGUGAAUAGCCGGAGGAAGGAGGGGAUGACGUCAAGUCAUCAUGUCCCUUAUGCCCAGGGCGACACACAUGCUACAAUGGGAGGUACAACGGGUCGCAAUACCGUAAGGUGGAGCCAAUCCAUAAAAACCUUCCUUAAUUCGGAUUGAGGUCUGCAACUCGACCUCAUGAAGCCGGAAUCGCUAGUAAUCG
rnacentral:rRNA from 1 species